GCGGUGUCUGAGGUUCGGCUUGCCCCUGGCCGUCCUCCUUUCUUUCCCCAAGGCACACGCCAAGGGUGCUAGCCCUGGCAUGGAGGGCGCGGGGCUCAGAGGCUGGCCAGCCUGAGUGUGAGCUCAUGCCCCCGGGACCACCAAUUCUCGCCGUUCCUGCCCCACUCCCACCCCAGGGCCCGCGUCGCAGGCCGGCUGCACCGACCCCAUUGAUUGGGAGGGGGCUCCGAGGCCAUCAGGCUCCGGGCUGCCCUGGGCGCUGCCCCCCUGGCGCCAGGGAAACAAAAGGUUAGAGAGCCCAGAGGGAGUUAUCUGGCCCCACCACCACCGGGGGAGGGAGAGGGGGCCAAGAGGGGCACACCUCCUCCCCACUCCCCCAGCUCUGCAGAUUCUUCGAGACACUUUCACAGGCGGAAAUUCCCAGAGGUGUGGAGGCAAGUGCCCUGUAAUUCUGCAGCUCAUCUCCUCUGCCGUGGCCUGAUUCUAUGGGUCGGACCUCUACCUGCUUCCUCCCACAGGGCUGGAAGCCCAGACAUGGUCUACCCCACUUUCCUUGCCAGAUCCUCUGGCCUCUCUUCCCAGCCCAGGACCUGAAUUGCCUAGAUCGCAGCUCCCAGAAGGAGAGAGCUGCAGAGACGUCAGAUGGAGGCCAUAGAGUGAGGAUGCCAGGAUGCCCAGGACCUCAGUUUGAAAACCACUGAGCUGCCAAUCCCACCUCCUGAUUUUACAGAUGCUGAAUGUAAGAGGAGAACUUGGUAGCUGACACAAAGCUCCAUCCAGGAUCCAGUCCCUUCUCCACGAGAUUCAGCAUCAGUCAGCAGUGAUCCCAUGACCACUGGGAACCAAACGCUG
rnacentral:lncRNA from 1 species